rnacentral:pre_miRNA from 12 species
GGAGAAGGUAAAGAACAUGACAUACAUGGGCUAGAGUUUGGGGGUUCCUGGAACCUUUGAACAUGUUUCCUUAUCUUCUCUCCUCCUAG